AACUAUAAUAAUGUGGAUUUAAUGCCAGCACAGGAUCCCAUAAGAAUUCCGUAAUUACGUGUGCUUGGGUUAGAGUAGUACUGGGAUGGGUGUCCUCCUGAGAAAUGCUCAUGUCAGUGUUU
rfam:Lupinus angustifolius cultivar Tanjil contig_18227, whole genome shotgun sequence.